ensembl:lncRNA
AGAACAUCAACAGCGCAACUGUUAACACGUAGGACCCAUCUAGUCCUCCUCAGAUCCCUCCUUUCUCUCUGCAGCAGGAUAAUGGACAACAUCAGCUUGUUUGCAUGCCCUUGGCCACUGUUCCACAUAUGUUUAGUCUCAACUGAUACUUCCUAGGUUACCCCUGUCAGCGUGGCACCUACAUGGAAGAGCAGUGGUGCAUAGCAGUCAGAGUGAGAUAAGCCUUGGAAGUUUAUCCACAACAUCCCAAAUGCAAGAAGCAAGCCUCUCUAAAGAAAAUAAAUCAGAUCUCAAGAGAACACAGCACCUUAACAUUCUUGCUUUAAGUUACAAAUGAGGCUUUUUAACAUCUCACAGCCAGGACAUGCACAGCCCCAUCGCAGAAUGCUACAGUCACUUACAGCAAGAUGGCUUCAAGGAGCUCAGGCUGACCAGAGGCAUUAGAAACAAAAUGGUGGUCACUGACUGAAGAAGGCAUCUGGAAAACGUGCCAGCGAGCUGCAGCUGAGGAGAAGGAGCAGAGCACAGCUGCCUCUGCCAGGUGAUGGGAGAACCUUUCUUGCUCACCAGUGAGUGUGAAAACAAAUUCAUAUUCAGGCAGCUCCUCGCCUCCUGAGGAAACAUCAAUCCUCCCGGCACACAGGGAGGGAAGUUAGAUUUUAAGACUAUCCUUAGCAUAUUCCCCCCAUGAGGCACACUGUCCACGAUCCCUCUGGCAUUUCCACAAAAAACAAGUCACACAAAAUAUCUGGCAAGCCACGUCAGUCCAUCGACCCCAAGCAAUUCUUUCAAUGUACAGAGGGGAAAAGCACAAACCUCACACGCUUUUCUGCGAUUUACUCUGUACUUUAUAGCGCCUGGGCGGCAGAAAGGGAGACAGAGCUUUUCCCGCCUUGCGGCUGCAGCCUCACGUGCGCCCCUCAGGAGGAGUCGGGCUUUCCCUCAGAGCGACUGAACACGUGCAGGGCCUGAGAAGGCGGGUGUGCCCUCACAACGCCCGGUUAGCUGAACUUCUGUCAGAAAGCCCCCUAGUGCACCACUUAGAGUUAUUCUUGGGAAGAAUGGGAAGCAGACAUUAACAUCUUGUACCUCUGAGGUAAGAGCUGCGGGAGCACAGAGAGGACUACCUCGAGCACGGCGGGGACCAGGGAGGUUUGCUGGAGGAGAAACCUGCCCUGGGGGGGGAAGGGUGCGUUGUGGGUGGAGAAACACAUGUUGCAGACCUCUUUCCCCACCCCCACCUUUUUUUUUUUUUUUUAAAUGAGAAGCACUCAGAGCCUCUCUAUUUAAAAUUGGUAACUUAGUUGGUCAGGUUUUUUGUUUUGUUUUUAUUUUAUUUUAUUUUGUUUUCAGAAUAAUUCAGUUUUACUGAGGUGGUGAAUGUGACGCAGUCCCACAGUGUGCCUCUGCCCCCCCGCACUGCAAUGCUGACAGCUCAGCCGCAGCUGCUGUUGGUUACAUCCCAAAGCCCUGAGGUGAAAACACUCCUCUUACCAAACACGCUGCCCUGCUCAUCACUAAGAACUUCUGGAGGAUGGGGAAUGUUACAGCAGAUGUUUUAAAUGAUGCUAAAAUCUGAGUUACAUGAACUAAGAUUGCAGUACUAUCAGAACGUUGUUUUGUUUUCUUAAAUUUGUUUUUUCAUCCCUAAAAGGGGCCUUAGAAUAGUUUAUGAUCAAUAGUGGUUUUAGAUCCCACCAUUUCAUAU